rnacentral:lncRNA from 1 species
UUUUUUUUUUUUUUGUUAUUGGGAAAGCAAGAAUCAAUGUUGCUUAAUUAUGUAACUAGUACUGGUUAGGGUUGGAGAAAGCUGAUACAAUUGUUGGGUUUAUAGGCAAAUUUGUGAAUUGGGUCUUGGCGGAACUUAUCUUUCAUAUUUUAGUUUUAUUCUUUUAUAUUUUCUUGACAAGAUAUUUCUACCGGUAUUCCCUUCUUUUUCGUUAUUCUUGGGACUAUUAGUGAUUUAAAUCUUUAAUAUUACGUAAAAAUGUAUGUGCUUCUUUAAAUGUUGGUGAGAUAUACAGAUUUUGCAGUUAAAAUUUUGAUUUUUUUUUUUGGUUAAAGAUGCAGUAGAAAUCAAAGAACAAUCCUAUUUAUGGGACAAAGCAGAAAAUGGAAAAGAAAAGGAACCCGGGGGGGGGGGGGGGGGUGGAAGGCAACUUUUAGAUGAUUCUGCUUCGAUAAAAGAAAAUAUACCCUCGAAAUAGGAUUAGGUCGUUUUUAUGAAUUUCCAGUCAAACCAACACUUGUGCAUUCCCCCUGUUGUUUAUUUGUCUGACAUAAACUAGAGGUGUCUUUUGAUUCUGCAAUUUUCGUCAUUUAUUAUUCACGCUCUUUGUUUCCCUGUAAUGGUCCUUUAUUUGCAUGCCCAUGGACGAGCACUAGGCAUUAAAUGGGCAAUUGAUACUUCACAAAAUGUAUAGUCCUAAGACCUGAGAAUGAUCCUGUAGAUUAUAGUUUUUGGGGUUUUGUAGCCUUUAUAGGAUAUAAUUUCUUAAUGGAUUUAGUUAUUGACUGGAGUGUUCUUUUUUAGGUGGUGCAUCUCUACAAGAGGAAGUGGGUUGAUGAAGCAACCUAUCCACGGUUCACUAUGAUUGGACAAAGUCUUGGUUCAGUUUACCUCUCAUGGGAAGCUUUAUGCAAGUUUACUCCUUUGUAUUAUUUUGAUACCUGUGGCUAUGCCUUUACUUAUCCAGUUGCCAGGGUAUUUGGAUGUAAAGUGAUUUGCUACACACAUUAUCCAACUAUCAGUUUGGACAUGCUAUCUCGUGUUCAUGGACGGAAUUCUAUGUACAAUAAUGACACACUGAUUGCUAAGAGGUAUGCAUGGUGAUUUAUCAUGCACAUGAAACGUCUGAUUAAGAGAUUUGGUGUUAUUAUUGUUUUCUUUUAUGGUUCUUGAAUAACAAGAUAGGCAUUUGCUACUGAAAUGUGUUGUAGUUUUUGUUGAGAAAUAUUUAGGUAAUUUGCUUGUAGUUUUCAACUUGAUCUUGUCAAAAGUGUGUGUCAUCUGUCUUGCUCCUUUUUAUAGUUAUUUCGUUUGGAAAGCUAAAGAUUAAAAUGAUAGGAAGGAAAACACAAUUUUUGUUUUUCAUUUUCUAAUUUGUUAGAAUCAGAUUGAAUUCCAAUUUGCUCAUUACACUAGUGGCUUUAGUCUUCACUAGAACCAAAAUGACAUUCAUUCUCCUUCGGAAUUGUUUGGAGAUAAGUCUCAAUUUUUUCUUGCCUCUCCAGGUUUUGAAUAUUGGUUUUCAUGUGGAUCCUUUAGAGAGUUCAUACUUCAAUUGUUUACGAUGUUUUUUCUGUCCAUGAUCAUAUCUUGUUUGAAUUGUACAUCUUUCCUGUCUUGUUUAUGAAAGUUAUCCAUGGAUCCUUGUAUCCUGAUCAUGAAGCACCUCUAAAUUUUUUUGAUAACAGUUCCUUUCUAUCCCAUUGCAAAGUCAUAUACUACAUGCUUUUUAGCUGGAUGUAUGGCAUUGUUGGCUCAUAUGCACACCUUGCAAUGGUGAAUUCUUCAUGGACAAAGUCUCAUAUUGAAAAGCUUUGGGGAAUUCCAGAUCGCAUUCAGCGUGUUUACCCUCCUUGUGACACUUCAGGGCUUCAGGUUUUGCUUUGAUUAGUUUAUCCUCUUCAUAGUGCUUUGGGUGGCCCUUUAAUUUAGUUGUUGACUAUUUGUUCUUGUAAACAAUUUAAACUAUAUGGGUAUUAUGUUACUUGGCUAAACCACUCUUCAGGCCUUCCGUCUCUGUGGCAUGUCUGUUGGUUUGUGGUAGGGCCAUUUGACAUUCUGAUUUCUGUUAGUUGAAAAUACAGAUGCUUUUUUUUUGUUUUUAUCAUUGGGAAGGAUGUUAGUAUCAAAGUUUAACUCCCCCCCCCCCUCCCUCUCUUCCCGGGGGCCCCUUCUUCCUCCCAUGAAAUUGCAAACUCAAAUUUUCAUCUUUGCUAGUUAUAUUUUUUCUUAAAAAUAUUCUUGCUUAAUUGUAUAAAUCUCUCUCUCUCUCUGGGGUUCUGUGUCCUUUGCUACCAACUACAGAGAUCAGAAUGGAUGUUAUACAGUAAUCAGAAACUAAAAUCUCCUAAAUAGGCUUCUGGUGGUGUGGCUUUAGACGAUUCAGUAUGUGGUAUAUUGUGGUUUUGCAAAUUAAUAAAUUUGACACCUCAUAUAAAUGUUAUAAAUUUCCUUACUGUGUUGUCUGUCUGUUUCUCCUGGAAAUAGUUGGUGUGAUAAUCAUAACUACUCUGGAAGCUAAGCUUUAUGCCUUGUUAAGGAUGGAAAGGAAAGAAGUGAAAUAUUUUUGAUCCAAUAUUGAAGGAUAAAAAAAUCAGAAAGGGCUGCAUGGUCUUAGCUCUGUUGUUCGAUAUCAUUUUGCUGCUUAUAUUCUGCUGAUUUCUGUACAUAACUGCCUGCAUAGCUAUUGUCAUUAGUGGGAAGUGCCUUGCCAACAUUUACAUUGAUCAAAAUUUCUGCUAGUAACUAGAGACAGAUAUUAACCUAAUUUAUAUGAACAGGCACUUCCAUUGGAGAGGCCUAUGACACCACCCAAGAUUAUUUCUGUGUCUCAAUUUCGGCCAGAGAAGGUGGGGAUAUUUAUAUAAUAAAAAUGAAAAGUAUUUGAACUUUAGCAGUUACUUUCUACCUCAGGCCAGUCAUGGUCUCUGUGAGUUAUCCUUAAGUUACUUCUUUGGGCCAGGCACAUCCUAUUCAGCUGGAGGCAUUUGCUGUUGCGAUUACAAAGUUGGAUUUAAAUCUUCCAAGGCCCAAACUUCAGCUUGUGGGUAGUUGUAGAAAUGAAGCAGAUGAGAGAAGGUUGCAAGAGUUGCAGGACCUAGCUGUUGAAUUAAAGGUGGCAGAUGAUGUGGAGUUUCAUAAGAAUGUGAUGUAUAGGUUUGUGCAUUUUAACGAUUGCUCAGCAUUGUAUUUGAUACCAGACCUCGUAAGAAAGUAUCAAAACAAGAGAUAAUCUGAAAUUAGGUAUUGAUUCUAUUUCAUGUUAAGAAAGGAUUCAGGAAAAAAGAGAUUUUCUUAUGAUCUGUGAAUGACCAUGCACUAUGUAGACAUUGAAUUCUGUUCUCUUUCUGCUUACUGAAUCUUAUAAGUGUUUGGUUGUAUCCUUUCCAUUCAGCAUAUGGCUGGGGGUUCAUUAAAUUGUAGUUCUUGAUGCCUACUUUAGCUUUAUGUUUGAGUAGUUCUUACACGUUAGCUUUUUAAGUUUUGCUGUGCAUCAUUUUUUCCACUUUUUUUUUUUGGCAAUGAGAGAGUCUUAAUUCAUUUCUCUAUUUGAUUAAUAUUGCAGUGAUUUGGUUAAGCUUUUGGGUGGUGCGGUUGCAGGAAUUCAUUCAAUGAUAGAUGAGCAUUUUGGAAUAUGUGUUGUGGAGUACAUGGCCGCUGGGGCAGUACCAAUAGGUCGGUUGGCUCUUUACACAGUAGUUAUGCCUUCUCUUUAUCUACUUAAAACUUGGAGGUGGGUGUGAAUUUAACUUCUUUGCUUUUGGAUUGCUCAGCCCAUAAUUCGGCUGGCCCCAAGAUGGAUAUUGUGUCAGCAGAAGAUGGGGAACAAACUGGAUUCCUUGCCGAAAAUGUGCAAGAAUAUGCAGAGGCCAUUUUCAAGGUCAUUGUGAUGCCUGAAUCCAAGAGAUGUGUCAUGGCAGCAGCUGCAAGGAGAAGGGCCUCAAGGUUCUCAGAGGAUAGAUUUUUCGAGGACUUUAGAGCUGCUAUCAGACCUAUCUUAUGCCAAACUUCAAGAUGAUACAAAUACAAUUUUGUUAAUGGAUGCCUAUUACCCGCUUAGUUUAGUGUUCAAAUGAGAAAUGUAUGAAAAUCGUCUUGGGCUAAUGUACUCUUUCCCUUCUUCCCUCCCUAACAUUAACACAGAGAUUUGACACAUCAUUUAUGUCCCUGCUGGAAAUUUUAGAAGGGAAUUUUUGUUAGGACUUGAUGCUGAGCAAUUGUAGAAAAUUGUAUACAUGGAAUUUGAGUGGUUGGAUCGUUUUGUCGUGGUUGCCAGUUGAUCUGCUUUCUCGUUGCCAUUAGCAGAUGUUAACAGCUUAGUUUUCCCAUUUUAAUGGAUGAAACCACACGCGCAUUAAGAGGUGAACUCUGAGCUCCGAGAUGAUAAACAGCUUCUGUUUCCUUCUUUGUCAUUGGUUAUGCUGUUCCUAAGAGUGAGCGGAUUUGUCUCAAAGAGGCUUCCAAGCCUUUUGUCAUGAUACUCAGUGUUUGAAAUCAAUAUCUGAUAUCUAUCUUGUGGGCAGGAAAAUCACACCAAAGGAACGUUUGUCAAAAUUAAGAACGUCUAUUGUUUACAAGGAUUGCAGUAAGAUUCCUAACUAUGUUGGAAAAGCAUCCUGUUGCACAAUCUGAAUGUAUGGUAGCUAUAAAUAAGUGCUAUCCCCCAGACAUGUCAAUCUAAGCAAGGCAAUGGGACUCUGAUAUAUUUCAUCAUGCCAUUGUGACACAACAUCGUCAUUAAUAGGUACAUAUAACAGGAUGCAUUUCAUCUUUAUAAUCACCAAGACACAAGCAAUACAUAUUCCCAAUCCCCCAGUAUUCGCCCUCAUAAAACAAGCUAUGCAAUAAAAAACAUUCAUCUCAUAGAGAAUUGGCAAUGCUUUAAGACACAACUAAGCAGAUACUAGAUAGGAGAAGAAUCCCAAACAAUCUACUGCAGAGUCAAUACGCAUAAUGUACAAACAACUAGGGAAGUUUAAAAUUCCCCACUUUACAUAAUCAGCUUGUUAAAAAGACACAAUCGUCUAAAACUAAGUUCUAAAGUCUCUAAAAUUUACUCCCUGCUUAAGUGGCAGUGCAUUUCCGUUAUAACUUCAAAGGAGAAAUUUGGGAUGAAAACACUCCAAGAGCCUGAGUGCAUUU